UGGGGAAUAUUGCACAAUGGGCGCAAGCCUGAUGCAGCCAUGCCGCGUGUGUGAAGAAGGCCUUCGGGUUGUAAAGCACUUUCAGCGAGGAGGAAGGUGGUGAGCUUAAUACGCUCAUCAAUUGACGUUACUCGCAGAAGAAGCACCGGCUAACUCCGUGCCAGCAGCCGCGGUAAUACGGAGGGUGCAAGCGUUAAUCGGAAUUACUGGGCGUAAAGCGCACGCAGGCGGUUUGUUAAGUCAGAUGUGAAAUCCCCGGGCUCAACCUGGGAACUGCAUUUGAAACUGGCAAGCUAGAGUCUCGUAGAGGGGGGUAGAAUUCCAGGUGUAGCGGUGAAAUGCGUAGAGAUCUGGAGGAAUACCGGUGGCGAAGGCGGCCCCCUGGACGAAGACUGACGCUCAGGUGCGAAAGCGUGGGGCAGCAAACAGGAUUAGAUACCCUGGUAGUCCAGCGCUGUAAACGAUGUCGAUUUUGGAGGUUGUGCCCCUUGAGGCGUGGCUUCCGGAGCUAACGCGUUAAAUCGACCG
rnacentral:rRNA from 1 species